GAUGCAAAAACAUCGAUGUCACUAUCGAUACUAUCGAUGUUUUUUAAAACAGCGAUGUAUCGAUGCUUUUUUUCGAACAUCGAUGUUAUCACUAAGAGAUACACACGCAAAGCAAGUGUUUGAUACAGGUAAAACAUAUUAGGGCGGUUCCUCUCGGCACAAUGGACAGGUUUCUGCACAUAACAAACCACGUGUCUGCUGCUUCGUCGUCUGCUCCAACGUCUGCUGCUUCGUCGUCUGCUCCAACGUCUGCUCCAACGUCUGCUGCUUCGUCGUCUGCUCCAACGUCUGAACUGAAAUAAUGUGAUUCCAUUUUUCUUUAUGAUUUCGUUAAAAUAUGUAUUAAGAUUA